rnacentral:sRNA from 1 species
AAAAAAUAUUGCAAUUACAUUUUGUUUUACAGUGAUCAAACAUCUAUAGUAAACAAAUGAGUAAUCCACCUCCAUAUCAAGGUCCACCCGCUGGGGCUUACAACCCACAGGGAUAUGGUAGCGGUUAUUCACAAGUGCCCAGCUACCAGGCAGCGGGCACAUACUAUCAGCAGCCGGUACAACAAGUAGUAUACGUAGAGGACAGAAGCAGACGAGAUGAAGAAGACGCGGAAUGUUUUUUGUUGGCUUGUUGCUGGGCAGUGCUCUGUUGUUGUUUCUUAAGCAAUACAUAAACAACUUUCAUACUUGCAAUAGAUCAUUAUCAUCAAGAAACGCCAUUCCAUGUAUAAAGACCGAUACUAAUUUAUCAUGACAACUGGCCAUUGUGUUACUGGCUAAUGUGUAUUUUAUUUCAAAUUUAGUAUGUAAAUAAUACUAGUUGCAAUGUAAAUGUAAGAAGUUCGAAAAUUUUUUGAAAUUGGAGAUUUGCACGAUGAACUAAACAAUGUCAUGUACGCCAAUUUGGACUUUACUGUUGCCAACUAACACAAAAAAAACAAACAACAACAACAAAAAAAAACAACAAUGUUAACACGACUCAAUGCUUGGCAAUCGAUCUAGGUAUCAAAUCUUGUAUUACUACUAGUUUGGAGCUCAUUUUGAUUUUUAAAAAUAACUUUAAAGUCAUAGGGUGAAAGUCUAAUAUAUUGAGAUACUCUUGUGCUAUAAACAAAUAGCUUAGAAAAUUUUAUUUUGCAGUGAAGAAGUGUACAAUAAUGAUCACAAGCCUUUUAAAAACAUAAAUUAUCAACAUUUCCUAUAUUUUGUACACCUGAUACACCAACAGUUUUUCUGCCAUGUAUGGAAAUCUUUAAUCUUGUCCUUCUAAAUUUAGAUAGUUAAAGAAUUAAGUUCUGCUUUUUGUCGUGGCUAUUUUAGGAAACUCGGCCUGCUCUUUGCACUAUAAAAAAAUAUGAUGUAUAACUACUUUGAUUUUUACCCUUCUUUCUUAUCUACUCUGUAUGUGCGUUCGCGCGUGUGUGUAUAUGUGUACGUAUAUAUGCAUCUUUAUUUUGCCAGAGACUGUGUUUUGUGACUGUGAUUAGAAAAUAUGAAUUUCGGGAUGUGACUAGAAAUUCAAGGGACAUAAUAAAAAAAAGGGAGAGGAGUGAAUUUGAAAAAUAAAAAUGAAAACAUUGAA